rnacentral:rRNA from 1 species
GACGAACCGUGCGAACGUUGUUCGGAAUCACUGGGCUUAAAGGGCGCGUAGGCGGGUGUGCAAGUCUGUGGUGAAAGCCUCCAGCUUAACUGGAGAAGUGCCAUGGAUACUGCACAUCUUGAGGAGGGUAGGGGCAUCUGGAACGGUCGGUGGAGCGGUGAAAUGCGUUGAUAUCGACCGGAACUCCGGUGGCGAAGGCGAGGUGCUGGACCCUUUCUGACGCUGAGGCGCGAAAGCUAGGGGAGCAAACGGG